rnacentral:lncRNA from 1 species
GUAACCCGACUCCUUCAUCAUCGGGUGAUGUAUUUGAUUUGGUAUGUUAAGUUGUAAAAUCUUAGAUUCUCCGCAGUAAUAAUAGUAGAUGUAUCAGUUGUAAAUUUUCUGUAGUUUCCGGUCUCGCCUAAUUGUUCCGGCAGACCGAUUAAAUUAUGUAAAAUGUAGCAUUUAAGAUAAUUUGUGGCUUUAAUAAUAUUAAUUUGAGAUGAGAUUUGUUUAAA